AUUGAACGCUGGCGGCAGGCCUAACACAUGCAAGUCGAACGAGUGGCGGACGGGUGAGUAAUGUCUGGGAAACUGCCCGAUGGAGGGGGAUAACUACUGGAAACGGUAGCUAAUACCGCAUACCAUCGGAUGUGCCCAGAUGGGAUUAGCUAGUAGGUGGGGUAACGGCUCACCUAGGCGACGAUCCCUAGCUGGUCUGAGAGGAUUACAUCACCCACUGGAACUGAGACACGGUCCAGACUCGAGCAACACCACCACAUAUUUAAUAUUGCACAAUGUGCGCAAGCCUGAUUCAGCCAUGCCGCGUGUAUGAAGAACUCCUUCGGGUUAUAAAGUACUUUCAGCGAGGAGGCGUUACUCGCAGAAGAAGCACCGGCUAACUCCGUGCCAGCAGCCGCGGUAAUUC
rnacentral:rRNA from 1 species